CCUACGGGUGGCAGCAGUGGGGAAUAUUGGACAAUGGGGGCAACCCUGAUCCAGCCAUGCCGCGUGUGUGAAGAAGGCCCUCGGGUUGUAAAGCACUUUCAGUGAGGAAGAACGCCUGGUGGUUAAUACCCAUCAGGAAAGACAUCACUCACAGAAGAAGCACCGGCUAACUCCGUGCCAGCAGCCGCGGUAAUACGGAGGGUGCGAGCGUUAAUCGGAAUUACUGGGCGUAAAGCGCGCGUAGGUGGCUUGAUAAGCCGGUUGUGAAAGCCCGGGCUCAACCUGGGAACGGCAUCCGGAACUGUCAAGCUAGAGUGCAGGAGAGGAAGGUAGAAUUCCCGGUGUAGCGGUGAAAUGCGUAGAGAUCGGGAGGAAUUCCAGUGGCGAAGGCGGCCUUCUGGACUGACACUGACACUGAGGUGCGAAAGCGUGGGUAGCAAACAGGAUUAGAUACCCGUGUAGUC
rnacentral:rRNA from 1 species